UACGAAGGGGGCUAGCGUUGUUCGGAAUUACUGGGCGUAAAGCGUGCGCAGGCGGCUUCUCAAGUCAGGGGUGAAAGCCCAGAGCUCAACUCUGGAAUUGCCUUUGAGACUGAGUGGCUUGAGGAUGAGAGAGGUGAGUGGAAUUCCCAGUGUAGAGGUGAAAUUCGUAGAUAUUGGGAAGAACACCGGUGGCGAAGGCGGCUCACUGGCUCAUUUCUGACGCUCAGGCGCGACAGCGUGGGGAUCAAACAGG
rnacentral:rRNA from 1 species